UAAGCCCAAGGGUUCCUGGGUAAGUUCAUCUUCCCAGGGUUAGUCGGUUCCUAAGCCGAGGCCGAAAGUCGUAGGUGAUGGAAAGCUGGUUAAUAUUCCAGCACCACCAUGGAUAACGUUGAAUGCAGGAAGGACGGAGGAGGGUAGCUGAGCCGAAACGUGGAUUGUUCGGUUCAACCCUGUAGGGUGUCUCCUUUGGACCCCAAGUGGGACAAACGAGGAGACUAUAGCCCGAGGGGUCAUGAGGAGGACGCCUGGCGUCCAUGAACUCAGUGAUCCCACACUCCCGAGAAAAGCUCCGGCAGGAGUUACUGUGGUGACCGUACCGCAAACCGACACAGGUGGGCGGGGAGAGUAUCCCAAGGCGCUUGAGAGAACCCUCUCUAAGGAACUCGCAAAUUGACACCGUAACUUCGGGAGAAGGUGUGCCGGCGUUAUGUGAAGGAUGAACAUCUGGAGCAGAAGCCGGUUGCAGAGAAACGGGGGUAGCGACUGUUUACCAAAAACACAGCACUCUGCUAACUCGUAAGAGGAUGUAUAGGGUGUGACGCCUGCCCGGUGCCGGAAGGUUAAGAGGAGAUGUCAACCGCAAGGUGAAGCAUUGAAUCGAAGCCCCGGUAAACGGCGGCCGUAACAAUAACGGUCCUAAGGUAGCGAAAUUCCUUGUCGGGUAAGUUCCGACCUGCACGAAUGGCGUAACGACUUCCCCACUGUCUCGGAGAGGGACUCAGCGAACUAGCACUAGGGGUGAAGAUACCCUUUACCUGCGGCAGGACGGAAAGACCCCGUGAACCUUUACUGCAACUUGACACUGAUUCCUGGAUUAGUUUGCGUAGGAUAGGUGGGAGGCUGUGAAACCGGGACUCUGGUCUCGGUGGAGCCAACCUUGAAAUACCACCCUGGCUAGUCUAAGAAUCUAACCUGCUUCCGUUAACCGGAAGAGGGACAAUGUCUGGUGGGCAGUUUGACUGGGGCGGUCGCCUCCAAAAGAGUAACGGAGGCGCGCGAAGGUUCCCUCAGCCUGAUUGGAAACCAGGCGUAGAGUGUAAUGGCAUAAGGGAGCUUGACUGCGAGACAAACAAGUCGAGCAGGUGCGAAAGCAGGUCAUAGUGAUCCGGUGGUCCCGAAUGGAAGGGCCAUCGCUCAACGGAUAAAAGGUACUCCGGGGAUAACAGGCUUAUCACGCCCAAGAGUUCAUAUCGACGGCGUGGUUUGGCACCUCGAUGUCGGCUCAUCGCAUCCUGGGGCUGAAGUAGGUCCCAAGGGUUUGGCUGUUCGCCAAUUAAAGCGGUACGCGAGCUGGGUUCAAAACGUCGUGAGACAGUUUGGUCCCUAUCCGCCGUGGGCGCAGGAAACUUGAGAGGAGCUGACCCUAGUACGAGAGGACCGGGUUGGAUUGACCUCUGGUGUUCCGGUUGUUCUGCCAAGAGCAUUGCCGGGUAGCUAUGUCGAGAACGGAUAACCGCUGAAAGCAUCUAAGCGGGAAGCCAACCUCAAGAUUAGGUUUCCCCAGGGCGCAAGCCCUCUGAAGGCCCCUUGUAGACCACGAGGUAAUAGGUCGGGUGUGGAAGCGCAGUAAUGCGUGGAGCUAACCGAUACUAAUCGGCCGUGAGGCUUGACC
rnacentral:rRNA from 1 species